rnacentral:rRNA from 1 species
GUAAGGGGCCUAGAUAACUUGGAGACACCAGAUUCCUUCUGAUCUUGGAAGCUAAGCAGGGCUAGCCCUAGUUAGUACUUGGAUGGGAGCCUGCCAAGGAAUACCAGGUGCUGUAAGCU